rnacentral:misc_RNA from 1 species
GAUGAAGAACGUAGCAAAAUGCGAUACGUAAUGUGAAUUGCAAAUUCAGUGAAUCAUCGAAUCUUUGAACGCACAUUGCGCCCGCUGGUAUUCCGGCGGGCAUGCCUGUUCGAGCGUCAUUUCAACCCUCAAGCCCCCGGGUUUGGUGUUGGGGAUCGGCUCUGCCCUUCUGGGCGGUGCCGCCCCCGAAAUACAUUGGCGGUCUCGCUGCAGCCUCCAUUGCGUAGUAGCUAACACCUCGCAACUGGAACGCGGCGCGGCCAUGCCGUAAAACCCCAACUUCUGAAUGUUGACCUCGGAUCAGGUAGGAAUACCCGCUGAACUUAAGCAUAUCAAUAAGCGGAGGA